UGAUUAUUCAAGUAAACUCUCUUACAACUCUUGUUUUCUCGACCCUUAUACCAACACGUAUCAAGCAGCAUUAACACGUAUUGGUACAACAUUUUUAUUUUUAUGAAUUUAUAGAAAUUGCAUCUUCCACCAGACGUUAGCGAGACCACGAGUGAUCGACAAAAGGAUCCAUUGUCUAAAAAUCCUGGCUCGUAUGGUUGUGGUGCGUCCUUGAGUAAAUUGGAUUUCUAAGUAAAUCCAAAUACUUUGUGCUCUGACGGUGCUUCCAUUUCUCCAGGUGCGUGAGAAUGGCAUUGUGGGAACGUCCCCUGAUAUGUACAGUACAUAUACCCUAGUCUACACCUACACCCACACCUACAACUGAAUAUAACUGGAACCCUAUCUUUCCACAGCUAAUUUUCAAUGAACUCAAAAGUUGUAGUUUGCGGUUGGCUGCCUGCCGUAAACUGUCAAUACUAGAGAGUUUAAGUUUCGCGUUGACACGUCAAACAGCAAACGCCGGGCAAAGAAAAACCUUACGUUAUAAGGCAAUAAAUAGUAAACGGACUUGCUAUUUUAAAACUAUAAUGUGUACCUAGGAAGUACAUGCAUGCAGCAACCCCUCACCUUUCUCAACAGAUGAAGUAUAAAAACUCCACAUAAAGUGUUAAGACUAUUAUAAACAAACAUAAAAACGUAAACACACCUGAUGUUCUAAAAUGAACGAUUUCGCUGCAAUUUCAUGUAUACCAGCUUCACAGCUUGCACAAAACACAUUAUUUAUUGUGAAUUAUCGAGUUAAGAAUGCAUGGCUUAAAAAUUUCGCAGAUAUGAAUAAAAUUGACAAGACAAAGCAAAUACGGAAUGGAGUUUUACUACUGAAAUGUUUACACUUACCCAAACCGGCACAACAACGAUUAAAAUAUUAAAAGCAUCAACAUCAAAACAAUUACAAACUUUGUUUCACGGUUGAACAGCCUUUAAUUCAUAAAACUGCAGGC